rnacentral:rRNA from 1 species
GCUUACUUCGGUAAGUGGAAAGUGGCAGACGGGUGAGUAACGCGUGGCAACCUACCUUUUUCUACGGAACAACAGUUGGAAACGACUGCUAAUACCGUAUACGCCCUCCGGGGGAAAGAUUUAUCGGUGAAAGAUGGGGCCGCGUUAGAUUAGCUAGUUGGUGAGGUAAUGGCUCACCAAGGCGACGAUCUAUAGCUGGUCUGAGAGGAUGAUCAGCCACACUGGGACUGAGACACGGCCCAGACAACUACGGUUGGCAGCAGUGGGGAAUAUUGGACAAUGGGGGCAACCCUGAUCCAGCCAUGCCGCGUGAAUGAUGAAGGCCUUAGGGUUGUAAAAUUCUUUCGCUAGGGAUGAUAAUGACAGUACCUAGUAAAGAAGCCCCGGCUAACUCCGUGCCAGCAGCCGCGGUAAUACGGAGGGGGCUAGCGUUGUUCGGAAUUACUGGGCGUAAAGCGUGCGUAGGCGGAUUAUUAAGUUAGGGGUGAAAUCCCGGGGCUCAACCUCGGAACUGCCUCUAAAACUGGUAAUCUAGAGAUAUGGAGAGGUAAGUGGAAUUCCUAGCGUAGAGGUGAAAUUCGUAGAUAUUAGGAGGAACACCAGAGGCGAAGGCGGCUUACUGGACAUAUACUGACGCUGAGGCACGAAAGUGUGGGUAGCAAACAGGAUUAGAUACCCUGGUAGUCACACCGUAAACGAUGAGAGCUAGUUGUCUGCAAGCAUGCCUGUAGGUGACGCAGCUAACGCAUUAAGCUCUCCGCCUGGGGAGUACGGUCGCAAGAUUAAAACUCAAAGAAAUUGACGGGGGCCCGCACAAGCGGUGGAGCAUGUGGUUUAAUUCGAAGCAACGCGCAGAACCUUACCUACCCUUGACAUGCCGGUCGCGAUUUCCAGAGAUGGAUUUCUUCAAUUCGGUUGGACCGUGCACAGGUGCUGCAUGGCUGUCGUCAGCUCGUGUCGUGAGAUGUUGGGUUAAGUCCCGCAACGAGCGCAACCCUCACUGUUAGUUGCC